UGAUUUAAGAGAUGCACACGGUAGUCUAAGUUUUAUGUAUUAUUAAUUUCCUUAACUGUCUUAAUUACAAUAAUUAAUAUUUUAAUUUAAUAAUCACAGUUAUGAUGCUAGUGAUUCUGGUGGUGAGUAUGAUGGUUAUAUGAUGAUGACGAUGGUGAUGAUGAUGGUGGUAAUGGUAAUGAUGGUAAUGAUGGUGAUGGUGGUGGUAUGGUGAUGGUAAUGAUGGUGAUGGUGGUGGUAUGGUGAUGGUAAUGAUGAUGAUGGUGGUGGUAUGGUGAUGGUAAUGAUGGUGAUGGUGGUGGUAUGGUGAUGGUAAUGAUGGUGAUGGUGAUGGUGGAAGUAAUGAUGGUGAUGGUAAUGAUGGUGAUGGUAAUGAUGGUGAUGGUGGUGGUAUGGUGAUGGUAAUGAUGGUGGUGGUGAUGGUGGAAGUAAUGAUGGUGAUGGUAAUGAUGGUGAUGGUAAUGAUGGUGAUUGUAAUGAUGGUGAUGGUGGUGGUAAUGAUGGUGGUGGUGAUGGUAAUGAUGGUGAUGGUAAUGACGGUGAUG